UUUAUACAUACAAAACCAGAACCAGUAUCUAUAGAAGGAAAGAUUAGGAAAUUAAUGAAUUUAUUGUUUGAAAUGCCUUUUCAGUGUUCCUAAAAUUAUUUAUGAACUACUUUUUUUUUUUUUUUUUUUUUUUUUAGAGACAGAAUCUCACUAUGGUACCCCCAGGCUGGACUGCAGCGGCACAAUCAUGGCUCAUUGCAGCCUCCAACUCCUGGACUCAAGUGAUCCUCCUGCCUAAGUCUCCCAAGUAGCUGGGGCUACAGGUUCAUGCCAACACACACAGCUAAUUAUUUUUCUCAUUUUUUGGUAAAGAUGGGGUCCACUUUAUCGCCCAGGCUCAUCUUGAACUCCUGGGCUCCUGAGAUCCUCCUGCUUCAGCUUCUCAAAGUGCUGGGAUUAAAUGCAUGAGCCACCACAUCUGGCCCCUACUUCAAGCCAGUGUCUUGUUUGUCGACCAGGCUGGAGUGCAGUAGAACAAUCUCAGUUCGCUGCAACCUCUGCCUCCCAGGUUCAAGCUAUUCUACUUCAGCUUCCCGAGUAACUGGAAUUACAGGUGCACAGCACCACACUUGGCUAAAUCUUUUGUAUUUUUAGUAGAGACUGGGUUUCACCAUGUUGGAUAGGCUGGUCUUAAACUCCUGAUCUCAAGUGAUCCACCCACCUCAGCCUUCCAAAGUGCUGGGAUUACAUGCAUGAGUCACUGUGCCUGGCCUCCUACUCUACUCUACUCUACUCUACUCUACUCUACUCUAAAAUAUCAUUAUCAACACCAUAAGUUGGUUCUUUAUUAUUUCUGCACUUAAUCUUACACAUUCGUAGAGUUGUAGUAAUAUUUAUUCUGAUGCAUUGCUGAGAUUAAGGUGAUUUCCCCAAACAGAAAAAAGAAAAUGAAGAUUAAAAAAACAUUUCAAACUCUGGAUUAUCAAACAACUAAUUCUUGCUAAGAGUACACAACCUGGUUGAUGCUAACAAGAUGAAUUAAACCUAAGCAGAGAGUCUGGAAGCGAUUUCCUUUUUCAGUUAAAUUUCCUUUACUAUGUUAACAAAAAUUAAAUUGAUACCCAUCACACAAGUUAAUCUUUUUGCAACUAGAUGCGACA
rnacentral:lncRNA from 1 species